rnacentral:rRNA from 1 species
AUGAACGCUGGCGGCGUGCCUAAUACAUGCAAGUCGAGCGAACAGACGAGGAGCUUGCUCCUCUGACGUUAGCGGCGGACGGGUGAGUAACACGUGGAUAACCUACCUAUAAGACUGGGAUAACUUCGGGAAACCGGAGCUAAUACCGGAUAAUAUAUUGAACCGCAUGGUUCAAUAGUGAAAGACGGUUUUGCUGUCACUUAUAGAUGGAUCCGCGCCUCAUUAGCUAGUUGGUAAGGUAACGGCUUACCAAGGCAACGAUGCGUAGCCGACCUGAGAGGGAGAUCGGCCACCCUGGAACUGAGACACGGUCCAGACUCCUACGGGAGGCAGCAGUAGGGAAUCUUCCGCAAUGGGCGAAAGCCUGACGGAGCCACGCCGCGUAAGUGAUGAAGGUCUUCGGAUCGUAAAACUCUGUUAUUAGGGAAGAACAAAUGUGUAAGUAACUAUGCACGUCUUGACGGUACCUAAUCCGAAAGCCACGGCUAACUACGUG